rnacentral:tRNA from 1 species
GGCGAGAUGGCCGAACGGUCUAUGGCGCCGGUUUAGGCACCAGUCUCUUCGGAGGCGCGGGUUCGAAUCCCGUUCUCGUCA